rnacentral:rRNA from 1 species
GACGAACGCUGGCGGCGUGCCUAAUACAUGCAAGUCGAACGGUCUUUUCUAUGGAAGCUUGCUUCCACUGAGAAGAUAGUGGCGAACGGGUGAGUAACACGUGGGUAACCUGCCAUAAGAGGGGGAUAACAUCCGGAAACGGGUGCUAAUACCGCAUAGUUUUCUUGAUCGCAUGAUCGAGAAAGGAAAGACGGCCUUUGUGCUGUCACUUAUGGAUGGACCCGCGGCGUAUUAGUUAGUUGGUGAGGUAACGGCUCACCAAGACGAUGAUACAGAGCCGACCUGAGAGGGUGAUCGGCCACAUUGGGACUGAGACACGGCCCAAACUCCUACGGGAGGCAGCAGUAGGGAAUCUUCCGCAAUGGACGAAAGUCUGACGGAGCAACGCCGCGUGAGUGAAGAAGGUUUUCGGAUCGUAAAACUCUGUUGUCAGAGAAGAACAAGUCGGAGAGUAACUGCUCCGGCCUUGACGGUAUCUGACCAGAAAGCCACGGCUAACUACGUGCCAGCAGCCGCGGUAAUAC